CAACAUGGAAAAGAGGAAUAUUUUCAGCAAGUCAUACUCUUCUCAAAAUUACUUAGGGAUAUUGGGAUAUAGGUGCACAUAUACCUGUGUAUGGAUAUGCUAUAAAAGUCAAAUGAAAAAAAAAAAAUCACAUAUGUCACCGAUUAAACAGUUAAGUGAAACACUAAAUAUCACAAUAUCCCUCACUAGUUGUUGGUAUAAUUACAUCCACGCACAUUGAAGCGACUUGUGAAUAAUUUCUAAUUGUAACGACAGAGGCUAACUUGGAUUUAAACCUCAGUUGUUUUACAAGAUGGUCCAGUGUGAAUAUAUCAAGAUACAUUAAGAUAGUCGCUCAUCCUGUAGAAGAGGAACACACUGCUCAGCGCUGCUGCGUUUCCGAUCGGACCUCUUUGGCAGGAGCACCAGGUCACAGCAAACUCCGCAGCACGAUGAUGCGAGCCAGUGAAAUCUAAACUGCGGAGCGUACGGAGCCUUGUGUUAUUGGACGGGGUUUAAUGGAUCUGUUGGCCUUUGCAUUUGCUUUGCUCCUGAAACAUGCGCUCAGCUGAGACUUGGGCAGAACACCAUCCAUUUACACCUAAUGGCCAUUGCCGUUUGAAUGUGCAGGAUCUGUUUUCGCCCAUGUCGGUUGGUUGGUUUGAUGGCAGGAUUACACAGAAACUGCUGAACAGAUUUCCACGAAACUUUGACAUGAAGAUUUUUUUCUUGCUUCCUUUAACAAUGUGAGAUAUGAGCAAUGCAUUUAUUCUAUAUUCUAUGUUAAUUUCUCAGAGAAUCAUGUAGUCAAUCUCGAUUUUUAAAUAAAUAAAUAAAUAAAUAAAGGUGGUUGUUAUCUAUGAGUGAGUACAAUUGGAUGGGGAUCCAUAUAGAAGUGUUAAGCUAGUGGAUUUAAAUAUGUUUUAUUGGAUGAAUUAAAGGGGUCUGCUGGCAGAGGUUUGCACUCUACUGAGUGCCAUUUUUGGUUUUUGGUUAGAGAGAAGAGAAACAGCUCCUUUCCUCGAACCACCAGGAUAGUAAAUUGCGCUGCA